AAAACAUUUUUAUUUGCUUUUCUUAGUUCUGGAAUUGUAUUUUAUUUUGGCGGAGAAGCUUUUAUUUUCUUGUUUCCUGUUUCUACGUCAUAUCCUGUGUGUUCGCGCUGCCCUCUUCAGUUCGCGCCAAGUUGCGCUGGGGAGAGGUGUGCGUGGGAAAGCCAGAGCCCAAGAACUGUGCUGACUGUAAUCUUGUUUUAAACAGGAAUAAAACAACGCAGAGCUGAUUCCAGAGUGAUUC